UUUGAAGGCCCAUUUCUGCAAUUUCUUAAUAAACAAUGAACAAUCUUAAUUGGAUUUUUUUCCCUUGGUGGUCCAGAUCAAACCCGGAGCUUCAUCAUGCUAGGCGGCCGUUCUCUCCUGAGCUAUGUGCAGGAGUUUCCCUUCUGGAAACAGCAAAGACCCUAGAGAAAUAAUCCAUCUCUAACAAGGUCGACACUACAACGUGGAUAGAUAUUUUUUUUUCGUAAAGACUGGACCUCAGAGGUAGAAACAAGACAGCAAAAGGCUAGGACUCAAUGUCUCCCCCCCAUUUCCCUUUUCCCCCUUCUAUCUUUUUCCCUUGGCUCGUGACUCCCAAUCCAAGAUCAUGCUGAUUGACCUCUGCCUCAACUUCCACAGUUGUAAAGGUUUGAGCUAAAGCAUUCAGGUUCUUUGUUUUUUGAGUCAGGGUCUUGAUUUAUAGCUCAGGAAACUUUGGGAUGGAAGCCUUGGUUCUUUUAGCCCUCCUUUGGGAGUGCUGGGACUGCAACAGUGCACCACCAUGCCCAGCUAAUUUUCCAUAUUUUUAAAGUGAAAAUUUUCAGAGAAAUGAUCCACAUGGGUAACAUGUUAUCUAGCAAAUGUUAAUUAAUAUAAAGCAAUCAACAGUUUGAGCAAGAAAUUAAUUAGAAGAAAGGAUUCCAGAGGGCACUGGUAAAAGAUUUAAACUGAGUGGUAGUUUAUAUCUGUAAUUCCAACGUGCAAAGAGGCUAGACUAGGGUCAGGGUUACCACUUGAGUUCAAGGCUUUGUUGUCUCAGAGAAAUUAAAGAUACUAAUGAAUACAGCUUGUUAAGACAGGACAAUAAUGGGCUUGAAAAUCCAUGAUUCAGUUUGAAGCAAAAAUAUGAAUAUAAUGCUAGGUGUGGUGGUGCACCCCUGUAAUUCCAGCACUCAGGAAGCAGCCAGGGCUACACAGAGAGAAACUGUCUCAGAAAAACAUAAAUUUGAGCAUCCACCAAUAUAUGGAAGUUGACGGGGGAGGGUUAGGCUUCCAAGUCAUUUGACUAUGCUAACCCAACUGUGACUGUGAAGUACCCAACAGGACAGUGGUUAUGAACAUGCCAAGGAUCUGCCCCAGAGAGCCUGGUGGUGGGCGGUGGUAGCUUUCUCACUGGUUAAGCAAUAUUCAUUUUAUAUCAUUAAAGUACUAUAGUAUCUAGAUCUCUGAAAAAUCUUCCUAAGAGCUAGGGUAAUAGUUUUAAUAUUGAAAAGUGGAACCUGUCACUAACAAAAGAUAAAUCAGUGCCAAAAGAAAAAGACCAGGAGCGCCAUGGUGGCGCACGCCUUUAAUCCCAACACUCGGGAGGCAGAGGCAGGCAGAUUUCUGAGUUCAAGGCCACCCUGGUCUACAGAGUGAGUUCCAGGACAGUCAGGGCUAUACAGAGAAUCCCUGUCUCAGGGAAAAAAAAAAAAAAAAAAAAAAGACCAGAACGUGUACAUGUACAUAUAGCUGAAAAGUUUAAAAUUUGAUAUACCUGAUUUGAACUGAAUUUAUCACAACUUAAGAGCUGGGUCUGAUGGUACAUACUUAUAAACACGGCAUGUGGGAAGUUAAACCAGGAGCAUUAAGAACCCAAGGCCAGCCUGGACUAUAUAGAUAACCUGUCACAAGUUGUUUG
rnacentral:lncRNA from 1 species